rnacentral:rRNA from 1 species
UACGUAGGGGGCUAGCGUUGUCCAGAAUCAUUGGGCGUAAAGAGCGUGUAGGCGGCCCGGUAAGUCCGCUGUAAAAGUCAAAGGCUCAACCUUUGAAUGUCAGUGGAUACUGCCGGGCUAGAGUCCGGAAGAGGCGAGUGGAACUCCUGGUGUAGCGGUGGAAUGCGCAGAUAUCAGGAAGAACACCAACGGCGAAGGCAGCUCGCUGGGACGGUACUGACGCUGAGACACGAAAGCGUGGGGAGCGAACAGG